CCGUCCUUCAAGCAUGUCUACUGCGCCUGUCCGACAAUUAACGCAACAGCCACGAGCCACUGACGAGAAGUUCAGUUCCAGGCGUCAUUCAUACUCUUGAAGAAAGACAUGGUUUGUGGAGUUCAUGACAGCUGACCCGUCAAUGGAUUUUGGUUUCCUGCAGCUCCAGCAUAAAUGAUGAGUUCCCUUGAGGUUGGCGAGCGUAUCCUGGCAGGUUUGGAGUUGUGCUAGUUUUAAUUCAACUUUUGGGUGAGGAAUUAAGCAAUACUCCCCAAAUUUCCUGAAACUUGAGAAUGCUUCACAAAGACAGCCCUCAUUCACAUGUCACCAUCCCAAUCACAUCUGGUGCUGCUUGGUCUUCAUGAUGUUGUUUGUCCGUUGAUGUUAAACCUCUAAAGUCUUCGCAGAUUUUUAUGGGCUUAUAAACUGUUUUGGAAAUGAAAACCCAAAGCAACGUCAGAUUUGUCACUGGCUGUAUUUGAUACAUUUCCAUUACAUGACGGUGAAUAAAGACAUUUUUCUGGAAUGUUUCCAUUGCAGUUAUUUACCAUCAUAUCCAUUUACAGUACAACAUAUUACACAACGUCCCUUUGAUUCCUUGUAUAUCAACACAGAAGCAAAGAUUAAGAAUAUAUAUAAUCAGAAUAUGUCUAAAGAGCUGGACUACAAGUGUCUUAAUUAAGGCAUAAGUGCAUUAUUUCUACUUCCAUUGUGGUGCUACUUGUGAAAAGCAAUAUUAAUAACACAUUGGUUUCACAUGUUUAAAUGAGACAUAUCAAUUAAAAAAAAACUAAAGUAAACUUAAUUUUAAGAAAUUAGAUCUAAUUCAAUUGACACUGAAACUAUUUGACUUUUCAAUCCAUAUAUAGCAUAAAACACCUGAGAAAACAGAGCCCUUCAUCUGAAUCACUGAUUUAGAGUUUAGCUGUAAUUCCCUUAUUGAGAAACAAAAAACUUAUUUUCAAGAAAUACUGUAACCCGUUUUUCCUCAUCUGAUGAGCACUAAAAACUACAAGGAGGGCCCUGGUGACCCCUCAAUUAAACAAAGAAAGAAAAAGAGUAAACAUUAAGACAUAAUUCCCGAAACACAUUUACAUCGCAAAAAAAGGCAACCACAACAAACAGAAAUAUAAAGACUUUUUAAGGCGACCUUGACAUAAGGCUAGUUUCUUUUCUCUCAUUAGAUGAACUCAGAUAUUAUUUUUCUUUCUAAAGGAAAAUCUGUAAAACAAACACACCCCGGCUCUUUAGUCCAAGACCUAAAGUAAACCACCUCACAUAUGCAAAAGGAGGCAGGUACAGAGUUAAAAUGUAGAUAAAAAUGUGACAAAUUACAGUUUAUGUCAUCUGGGUUGUUAAAUGUUUUACUAAACUUUACACAAAACAGUGGGGGGGAAAAAAAAACCUUCUUGUUAGUGUAAAUCUUUGUUGGUUUAAAAAAAAAAAAACAAGAAACGGAUUUACUGUAGGAUUUUUGAAUGACAACACAAUGAAAGCAAUGAUAACAUUAUUGCUUCUGUAGCGUCAUUGCCUUGGAGAACAUUGUGCCAAGUUCCUAAUGAAGCUUAGAUAACUGGUUACAAUGCAGACUCAUUUACUGGCCUUUUUCACUCAAACAUUUAGUCUGUGGCUGUGAAACUGCCAACCUUUUAACUAAAACCAGCUACUGUCCUCUAUGGAAC